AGAAGAAACAAUGGGCGGUGGAGAAUUCAGUGUGCAUGUAGCUUUGUGGUAACACGUAGGUGGUGAACACAGUAUCGAUCAUACCCGUUGCCACGUAACAUGCAUGAGGACACAUGUCCCAUUGUAAGCUUCUGCUCUACAUUUUGUUUGCUUGCUUGCAUUUUGAAUGAUGAAUCAUCUUAUCCAGUAUAUAGAUAUAUUCAGUACUUACAUGUGUCAAAUGGCCUCUUUUGAUGUAUUGAGCAUGCAUAUUUGUUAUCUCAGCUGCUAUAUAUAUAUUGACAAAAGCUAAACAGACAUCAGAGCUGAUACAAACACGACACUCCAAACAUAACCAAGAAUAGAAUCACCACACUCCAGAGUUUAAAUCAAUCAAAUGAAGAAAUGGGAAUAUUUUACAUAUACUCCCUCUUCCUUUAUAAAAUUUUUGAGAUGUAUGAUUUCUUUUAAUAUGUAUAUUUUCACCAACUCCAAAAAAAGUUUUUGGUUCGACUUAGAUAUUAAAGUUUUUAAUAUGUUAAGUGGUUGUAACUUUGUCUGAUCUUUCACAUCAAAAAAGAAGAAUGGUGGUGUGAAAGAGUUAUUGAGUUAGAAUUACAAGUUUCGCUAAGCAAUUUAGCCUAGAAGAAAUUGAUGGGAGAAUUUGUUUUGUACCUCUAGAAAGUUCAACAAAAAAUAAUGUUGAUACAAUCAAUAUUAUACAAGAGUCCUCUUGCCAAGUUAAACUCUCCAACACCAAAGUUAUAGAUGAUGAAGUCAACGGAUUCGCGUAAUAAUGAAUCAGUGGAGUUGGUGAUAAAGCAAGAAGAGAAGAAAAUACCAUUUAAUGAAAUAGGGUGCGGGUCUAAGAUUCAAUUGGCUUUUAAAAUAAGUUCAAGUGAUGAAAAUUACAAUUUUGCUUCACAUAACACUAAUUAAUUUAGGCACAAAUUUGGUGAUAGCAGAUCAGAAACUUUCUUUUUAUUAAAAGCAACCAACCAAAGUCAAUCAAAAUAAUUUGUAUCGCGAUUGUCUAUUAAUCUGUAGAGACUAUCGUCCGACACCAGAAACACCAUUGGGCUAUUGCCAUGCCUUACAUACAAGAAGAAUCAUGGACAUCAUAACAUCAUUUGGAUAUAUGAAUCAUACCCAUAAAAUAAACAAAUCAACCUGUACAGCACAAAAAGAUACUUAGAUUAUCAACAGUGGAGUAGAGCCUGCUAUAAAGGUGGUGAAAAGAAUCGUGUUAAGCUAAAGAAUCACUUGGGCUUUCCAGAAUGCUAAGCUAAACAGCUAAAGUCUAUGUAACUAAGUCUAACAAGGUGUUUGAAC